rnacentral:misc_RNA from 1 species
UUGAAUCCAAAGGAUGUUGCUGGUGCUUGCGAAAGUACAUGUGCACUCCGACUUUCAUAUCCACCUGUGCACUCAUUGUAGGCUUGGAUUAACUUCCAAGUCUAUGCUUUCAUAUACACACUAUAAAAUCUAUGGAAUGUACUGGGCUUUCAUUGCCUACAAAAUUAAUA